rnacentral:rRNA from 1 species
CACACCGCCCGUCACAUCACGAAAGCGGGCUGUACUAGAAGACGCCGAGCCGACCCGCAAGGGGAGCAAGCGUCCACGGUAUGGUUCGUGAUUGGGGUG